rnacentral:rRNA from 1 species
UGGGGAAUAUUGGACAAUGGGCGAAAGCCUGAUCCAGCCAUGCCGCGUGAGUGACGAAGGCCUUAGGGUUGUAAAACUCUUUCGUCGGGGACGAUAAUGACGGUACCCGAAGAAGAAGCUCCGGCUAACUUCGUGCCAGCAGCCGCGGUAAUACGAAGGGAGCUAGCGUUGUUCGGAAUCACUGGGCGUAAAGCGCACGUAGGCGGAUAGUUAAGUCAGGGGUGAAAUCCUGGGGCUCAACCCCAGAACUGCCUUUGAUACUGGCUGUCUCGAGGUCGAGAGAGGUUGGUGGAAUUCCUAGUGUAGAGGUGAAAUUCGUAGAUAUUAGGAAGAACACCAGUGGCGAAGGCGGCCAACUGGCUCGAUACUGACGCUAAGGCGCGACAGCGUGGGGAGCAAACAGGAUUAGAUACCCCGGUAGUCCCUGAGCGGGCUGGCAAGGCGCAU